ACAAAGUUUGGGGGGCGGCGACAGCAGUCGGCUCCUAACAGUGAGCCGUACUCCAUCUCCAAUCUCACUACCUCUCCAACAACCAUCAAAUACACUCCUCAUCCUCAUUGUAGCGAAAAAGAUCACUUUGCCCAUUCACUCUCUCCGUCCUCGCAAAGAUGAUGUCUGAACAUUCCGAUUCUUCGACUGUCCAUUUCUGCCGAUGAUCCCAAAUGGAUUUCUGAACUGGAUGGUAGUCUCAAUGGUUACUGAAGGACUUUACCCUUUAAACGACGACUUUUGGAUUGAGUGAGGACGAAGAUGACACAAAGUCUGAGAGAAUAAAGGUACCAAACCAAGAGUGACAAUGGGGAAAAGCAUGACGGAGGAAGGAACGAUUGAAGAGAAACUUGAAGCAAGAAAGUGAAUGUAGUAAACGAUAACUGAAC